AUUGACAAUUAUAGCAGAGCAUGACUGGAUGAAAGAUCGGGCUAUUGCUUAUUCAGAGGAACUCCGGAAAGUAAAUGUUGAUGCUCCUGUUCUUGAAUAUAAGGAUGCUGUUCACGAGUUUGCAACUCUUGACAUGCUUCUCAAGACCCCUCAGGCUCAGGCUUGUGCUGAGGAUAUUGCCAUCUGGGUAAAGAAGCACAUUUCACUCCGAGGUCAUGAGUUUUCAUAUUGAUUUGGAUAGAGGUCUUGUA
rnacentral:misc_RNA from 1 species